AUGUCCUGGACGAACGGGCGCUCCUCUCGAGCGUCCUCCUCCCGACGGCAGGACAUGCACGGGGCGGCAGAUCCGGCUGCUCCGGCGUGGAUCCGGCGACGGGGCGGACAGAUCGAGGUGGAGGAGCACGAGGCCGACCGAGAGGUGGCCAGCCGGAGGCGGUCAGAGCUCCAAGGCAGCGGGGGUGCUGCCUGGUUGUUCGGAUCGACGCGGAGGAGCACGAGGCCGACGAAGAGUAGGUGGCCGGCCCGGCGGCGGGGCGAGCUCCAAGGUAGCCGGACUGCUGCGCGUUGUUCUUUGGCGACUCCCUUCUCUCGAGAGGAUAAGGAAAAAGUUGAGAGAGAGGAGGAGAGGGGCGGCGGCAGCUGGGGUGGCUCGUGA
rnacentral:rRNA from 1 species